rnacentral:rRNA from 1 species
UACGAGGGGGGCGAGCGUUGUUCGGAAUUACUGGGUGUAAAGGGUUCGUAGGCGGUGUAGCAAGUCGGGAGUGAAAUCUCUGGGCUUAACCCAGAGGCUGCUUCCGAAACUGCUGUGCUUGAGUGUGGGAGAGGCGCGUGGAAUUGCAGGUGUAGCGGUGAAAUGCGUAGAUAUCUGCAGGAACACCCGUGGCGAAAGCGGCGCGCUGGACCACUACUGACGCUGAGGAACGAAAGCUAGGGGAGCAAACAGG